rnacentral:rRNA from 1 species
AGCAGCCGCGGUAAUUCCAGCUCCAAUAGCGUAUAUUAAAGUUGUUGCAGUUAAAAAGCUCGUAGUUGAAUUUCGAGAUCAAAUUGUUGGUCGUGCCUCGGUACGUACUGGCAUUAUUGAUUUCUCCCUUCUGAAGAACCACGAUGUCAUUAAUUUGGUGUCGUGGGGAAUCAGGACCGUUACUUUGAAAAAAUUAGAGUGUUUAAAGCAGGCUCACGCUUGAAUACAUUAGCAUGGAAUAAUGAAAUAGGACGUUUGAUUCUAUUUUGUUGGUUUCUAGGAUCGACGUAAUGAUUAAUAGGGAUAGUUGGGGGCAUUAGUAUUCAAUUGUCAGAGGUGAAAUUCUUGGAUUUAUUGAAGACUAACUACUGCGAAAGCAUUUGCCAAGGAUGUUUUCAUUAAUCAAGAACGAAAGUUAGGGGAUCGGAGACGAUCAGAUACCGUCGUAGU